rnacentral:rRNA from 1 species
CUCGUAGGCGGUCUGUCGCGUCGGAUGUGAAAACCUGGAGCUCAACUCCGGGCCUGCAUUCGAUACGGGCAGACUAGAGUUCGGUAGGGGAGAUUGGAAUUCCUGGUGUAGCGGUGGAAUGCGCAGAUAUCAGGAGGAACACCGAUGGCGAAGGCAGAUCUCUGGGCCGAUACUGACGCUGAGGAGCGAAAGCAUGGGGAGCAAACAGGAUUAGAUACCCUGGUAGUCC